CCCAAAUUUUUUUUCCAACUACCUCAACCUGCUUCUUCUUUCUUCACCUCUGCUUCCGUCGUCCUCUUCUCAUCUGAUUCUGCUUCUUCCACUUCCAUAUUAUGCUUCUGCUUGUUGCUAUUGUCUCUCUCAGUGUUAACUUGUUUCAUCUAUCCUUCUUUCAAUCAAGGCUAUUUGAUGAAAACACACGAGAGAUUUCGUGAGACGGACUCUUGGUUGGUUAUCAUGUUUAUUGGCAUCCUGAUAGGCUUUUGCUUGUGAUUCAGUGACUAUGGGGCUAAUGUUAUGGAUCUUGAGAAGCUGUUCUCUUUGAUUAUGAAUUUGGUAAACUGUUGAGAAAAUUCAUGGAUUGGAGUGCUCUUUAAUUUUGCUUAUUUUGAUAAUUGGUGGGAACAAACUAUAGCAAAAGGAAAUGAGUUCAUGGGACUGUUAGUUUGAUUGAUAUGAUACUGCCACCUGACUUAUGUCUCUCUCUGGUGUGACUAAUAAGGCUAAGAGCAAACAGUCUGUAGGUUAUUUUUAGUAGGAUAGUUUUACUUGUUAUGUGUAGUAACUGGAUGUAAAGAAAAAAAAAAGAAAUUUUUUUGCAUGUAUGUAUAUAUGUGUAUAUAGAGAUAGUUAUAGAGUGAAACGAUGCCGUUUGGAGAAGAAGAGGAGGAAACGGCGUCGUUUGGAGAAGAGGAGGAGGAAACGGCGUCGUUUGGAGGAAACGGUGUCGUUUGGUGAAGAGGUGGAGGAAACGCCGUCGUUUGGAGAAGAGGAGGAAA